CCUACGGGUGGCAGCAGUAGGGAAUAUUGGUCAAUGGGGGCAACCCUGAAGCAGCAACGCCGCGUGUAGGAUGAAGGUUUUCGGAUUGUAAACUCCUUUUUUUCGGGAAGAUAAUGACGGUGUUUAACGAAUAAGAAGCGACUACCGCCGUAGUGCCAGCCGCGGUAAUAAGGCGGAUGCCAGCGUUAUUCGGCAUCAUUGGGAGUAAAGAGUGCGUAGGCGGGAUAGUAAGUCAGCUGUUAAGUCCUCUGGCUUAACCAUAAAACUGCAUUUUACACUGUUAUUCUUGAGUGUGGGAGAGGUAAGUGGAAUGCUUGGUGUAGCGGUGAAAUGCGUAGAGAUAAAGAGGAAUACUCAUGGCGAAGGCGACCUGCUAGAACAUAACUGACGCUGAUGCGCGAAAGCGUGGGGAGCAAACAGGAUUAGAUACCCUGGUAGUC
rnacentral:rRNA from 1 species